GGUAGGGUGGCCGAGUGUAAGGCGGCGGUUUGUAGCACCGUGCACAGAGGUUCAAGUCCUCUUUCUAUCA
rnacentral:tRNA from 1 species